AUUGAACGCUGGCGGCAGGCCUAACACAUGCAAGUCGAACGAGUGGCGGACGGGUGAGUAAUGUCUGGGAAACUGCCUGAUGGAGGGGGAUAACUACUGGAAACGGUAGCUAAUACCGCAUACCAUCAGAUGUGCCCAGAUGGGCUGAGCUUGUGGGUGGGGUAACGGCCCACCAAGGCGACGAUCCCUAGCUGUUCUGAGAGGAUGACCAGCCACAUUGGAACGUAGACACGGUCCAGCCUCCUACGGGAGACAGCAGUGGGGAAUAUUGCACACUGGGCGCAAGCCUUAUGCCGCCAUGCCGCGUGUAUGAAGAAGGCCUUCGGGUUGUAAAGUACUUUCAGCGGGGAGGCGUUACCCGAAGAAGAAGCACCGGCUAACUCCGUGCCAGCAGCCGCGGUAAUAG
rnacentral:rRNA from 1 species